UACGUAGGUGGCGAGCGUUAUCCGGAAUUAUUGGGCGUAAAGGGUGCGCAGGCGGUUUGUUAAGUUUAAGGUGAAAGCGUGGGGCUUAACCCCAUAUAGCCUUAGAAACUGACAGACUAGAGUACAGGAGAGGGCAAUGGAAUUCCAUGUGUAGCGGUAAAAUGCGUAGAUAUAUGGAGGAACACCAGUGGCGAAGGCGGUUGCCUGGCCUGUAACUGACGCUCAUGCACGAAAGCGUGGGGAGCAAA
rnacentral:rRNA from 1 species